ACCAUUUCUUAGAGUGAAAGUUAACAAUUCCUCGAGAGACUGUUGUGACAGAAUUUUAUCAAGAAACAGUAAUAAUUCAAUGACAUAUUCACUGUUCCAGCGAAAGAGAUCAAGUUUCCUGUAUCCAAGAGUCACAGUGGUGAAAAAAACAGAAAAGGAUUUAUUGCAAGUGUCAAAUGCCAGAUGAUGGGCAACACUUUAUGAUAAUGUGCAGCCUCUGUAACGACUGGUUUCAUCCAUAAUGCCUGGGUAUGGUGAAAGAAUCUGUCGAGCUAAAGAAGGGUAGUAAAUUCUUUUGCACUUUGUGUACAGAAUUUAGAGUUCCAGAGAUUCUAAAGCCUGGUGACGAGGAUGAAAAAUUGGACGCAGGGUUUUUUAUCACAACUGAAGACUUUGUAAACAUAUACCAGUAGUGUUGAGGAGAGUGCAUGACAUAGUUACACACACUGGCAAAAUGAGCAAACAGCCGUGGUUGAGAAGACACCUGCUGUUCAAACAUAAAAAACUAAGUGAAGCAUGGAUUUGGAUUUGCCAUUUUCAGUCAGCCGAUAGUUAUUUCACACAUUCAUCUACAUCUACGGAGAUACUCCCAACAAUCAAUUUCUGGGAGGUCGGGCCAGUGGUUAAAAGCAUGUUGCUAUGUUACAUGAUACAUAAUAUUCAUAUUGU
rnacentral:lncRNA from 1 species